AUUGAACGCUGGCGGCAUGCUUUACACAUGCAAGUCGAACGGUAACAGGCCGCAAGGUGCUGACGAGUGGCGAACGGGUGAGUAAUGCAUCGGAACGUGCCCAGUCGUGGGGGAUAACUACUCGAAAGAGUAGCUAAUACCGCAUACGAUCUAUGGAUGAAAGCGGGGGACCGUAAGGCCUCGCGCGAUUGGAGCGGCCGAUGUCAGAUUAGGUAGUUGGUGGGGUAAAGGCUCACCAAGCCAACGAUCUGUAGCUGGUCUGAGAGGACAACCAGCCACACUGGGACUGAGACACGGCCCAGACUCCUACGGGAGGCAGCAGUGGGGAAUUUUGGACAAUGGGCGCAAGCCUGAUCCAGCAAUGCCGCGUGCAGGAAGAAGGCCUUCGGGUUGUAAACUGCUUUUGUACGGAACGAAACGGCUCUGGUUAAUACCCGGGGGUAAUGACGGUACCGUAAGAAUAAGCACCGGCUAACUACGUG
rnacentral:rRNA from 1 species